rnacentral:rRNA from 1 species
UGAGCAACCUGCCCUUAGCUCAGGGAUAACCCCGGGAAACCGGGGCUAAUACCGGAUACGAGUCCGAGCGGCAUCACGCGGACUGGAAAGUUUUUCGGCUAAGGAUGGGCUCGCGGCCUAUCAGCUUGUUGGUGGGGUAAUGGCUCACCAAGGCGACGACGGGUAGCCGGCCUGAGAGGGUGACCGGCCACACUGGAACUGAGACACGGUCCAGACUCCUACGGGAGGCA